rnacentral:misc_RNA from 1 species
UACGGGUGGUUGGCUCUUUGCUUCCGCAACAACUUCUACCUGGCAUACCUCUUCAGUCUUGUGUCAAUGCUUGUAUUGCAUUGAAUGCACGGUGGGUUUCUUGUGUUGCAUGCCUAAUUUAAUGGUAUUGCUUGAUGAAUUGGUUUUCCUUUCGUUUUGCAUUGCCUAUGCGAUGUGAGAUGAACCUUGAAGCAGCCUCUGUGAUCCACUGAUUUGAUGCAUAUGCAUUGAUUUUGUGGCCCAUUGAGUGUUGCUCGGUCUCAUGGAUAUGGAACCUGGUGUGGGCAUGGAAUCUUAAUGGUUCCUUGUUUGCCCAAGUUUAGCUUUUCUAAAACGAUUGUCUAUCAUGUGUUAACAUGGUAGACUACUUCGAAUAUGAAUGCUACCUG